GCGUCUUCAUGUACGUGUGGGUGUAGUAUAUAAGAGCUGGUCAAAGGGUCCCUCCUCAUCCAGUCCUCGUCAUCUUGCCCUCCUGCCAUCAUGCGUGCAUCCUACAUCCUCCUGGCGGUGCUGCUGCUGGCCGCUGUGGUUCUAGCGGCACCUGGUGGAUUCAAGAAGGGCGGGUAUGGUAGAAGAGGCCGUUCUCACCAUGUUAUUGUGCCCGUAUACACCCACUCCUACGGCGGAUACGGGGGAUACGGACACGGAGGAUACGGACACGGAGGAUACGGACACGGAGGAUACGGACACGGGGGCUAUGGAGGAUAUGGUGGAGGACACGUGAUCUCCUAUGGUGGUUAUGGUGGCGGCUACGGCGGCGGUUAUGGUGGUGGUUAUGGCGGCUACUGGUGAGAAACCAAAGUGAGAGUAAGAGUGUAACGCCCCUUCACCCCGUCACCCUAGUCACCCCUGCCUCCACUCCCCUUUCCCCUCCUCACUACCUCCGCCCCUAACCACGCCCUUCCAGUUCUACGUACAAAGCUAAAUAAAAUGCUUCUUAUACCUUA